CCCUUGAAAGCAAACAUACGGAAAGGAC
rnacentral:piRNA from 1 species